rnacentral:tRNA from 1 species
GGGGAUGUAGCUCAGUGGUAGAGUACUUGCCUAACAUGUGUGAGGCUGAAAAGAUUUUAUUUAAAAAGUAAAAAGACAGCCAAUAGGAUGGGAGAAAACAUUUUCAAAUUAUGUAUCUAGGGGCUGGGGCUGGAGCUGGCUCAGCAGUAGAGCACUUGCCUAGCACGUGCAAAGCCCUGGGUUCGAUCCUCAGCACCACA